rnacentral:rRNA from 1 species
CAAUAGCGUAUAUUUAAGUUGUUGCAGUUAAAAAGCUCGUAGUUGGAUUUCGGAUGGGAUUUGCCGGUCCGUCGUUACGAUGUGCACUGGCCAGUCCUAUCUUGUUGUCGGGGACUAGCUCCUUGGAUUCACUUCCUGGGACUGGGAGCUGACGAGGUUACUUUGAGUAAAUUAGAGUGUUCAAAGCAAGCCUACGCUCUGAAUACAUUAGCAUGGAAUAACACGAUAGGACUCUGGCUUAUCUUGUUGGUCUGUGAGACCAGAGUAAUGAUUAAGAGGGACAGUCGGGGACAUUCGUAUUUCAUUGUCAGAGGUGAAAUUCUUGGAUUUAUGAAAGACGAACUUCUGCGAAAGCAUUUGUCAAGGAUGUUUUCAUUAA